GACGAACGCUGGCGGCGUGCUUAACACAUGCAAGUCGAACGGAGUGGCAAACGGGUGAGUAACACGUAAACAACCUGCCUUCAGGAUGGGGACAACAGACGGAAACGACUGCUAAUACCGAAUACCUGAAGAGGGGUUUGCGUCUGAUUAGGCAGUUGGUGGGGUAACGGCCCACCAAACCAACGAUCAGUAGCCGGUCUGAGAGGAUGACCAGCCACACUGGAACUGAGACACGGUCCAGACUCCUACGGGAGGCAGCAGUGGGGAAUAUUGCACAAUGGGCGCAAGCCUGAUGCAGCCAUGCCGCGUGUAUGAAGAAGGCCUUCGGGUUGUAAAGUACUUUCAGCGGGGAGGCGUUACCCGCAGAAGAAGCACCGGCUAACUCCGUGCCAGCAACCGCGGUAAUAC
rnacentral:rRNA from 1 species